UUGUGUCUGGAACAUGUUGUUUGUGAUACUGCAAGAGUGUUGGGAGAUCGGAUUGUACUCGACAUGGCUAAUCUAUCUGUGUUGGACAGUCCUCUAUUUACUGCUACAUUUGAGUACAUACUUUAUUACAUAUAUGUGACCCACAUGACAAAAUUUAAAUCAAAAAUUAAUCUUUUGAAUAAAGUGAUUAUUCUUUUAAAGAACUGCAAUUUGAGACAUUGGUUUGACUGAUUUGUUAUUUCAGCCUAAUUGAGUGUCUAAAGUCCACAAAAUUGACUGAUGGAGUCACAACCAAGGCUGUGGAGGACUCCUGUCAGUCCUUUGACUGCAUUCGAAUGCAGAUUGUAAUGAAAUUGGCCAAUGUC